UCAACAGAGGGAGGCAAAGCCGCGAGGUGGAGCGAAUCCCUAAAAAGCCGUCCCAGUUCGGAUUGCAGGCUGCAACCCGCCUGCAUGAAGUUGGAAUCGCUAGUAAUCGCGGAUCAGCAUGCCGCGGUGAAUACGUUCCCGGGCCUUGUACACACCGCCCGUCGCACCAUGAGAGUCGGGGACACCCGAAGUCCGUAGUCUAACCGCAAGGGGGACGCGGCCGAAGGUGGAUUCGAUAAUUGGGGUGAAGUCGUAACAAGGUAAC
rnacentral:rRNA from 1 species